rnacentral:tRNA from 1 species
GGGGUUGUGACUCAGUGGCAGAAUGCUCGCCUAGCAUGUGUGAGGCCCUGGGUUCAAUCCUCAGCACCACA